rnacentral:rRNA from 1 species
AACGCUGGCGGCGUGCCUAAUACAUGCAAGUCGAACGCACUCUCGUUUAGAUUGAAGGAGCUUGCUCCUGAUUGAUAAACAUUUGAGUGAGUGGCGGACGGGUGAGUAACACGUGGGUAACCUGCCCUAAAGUGGGGGAUAACAUUUGGAAACAGAUGCUAAUACCGCAUAAAACCUAACACCGCAUGGUGUAGGGUUGAAAGAUGGUUUCGGCUAUCACUUUAGGAUGGACCCGCGGUGCAUUAGUUAGUUGGUGAGGUAAAGGCUCACCAAGACCGUGAUGCAUAGCCGACCUGAGAGGGUAAUCGGCCACACUGGGACUGAGACACGGCCCAGACUCCUACGGGAGGCAGCAGUAGGGAAUCUUCCACAAUGGACGAAAGUCUGAUGGAGCAACGCCGCGUGAGUGAAGAAGGUUUUCGGAUCGUAAAACUCUGUUGUUGGAGAAGAAUGUAUCUGAUAGUAACUGAUCAGGUAGUGACGGUAUCCAACCAGAAAGCCACGGCUAACUACGUGCCAGCAGCCGCGGUAAUACGUAGGUGGCAAGCGUUGUCCGGAUUUAUUGGGCGUAAAGCGAGCGCAGGCGGUUUCUUAAGUCUGAUGUGAAAGCCUUCGGCUCAACCGAAGAAGUGCAUCGGAAACUGGGAAACUUGAGUGCAGAAGAGGACAGUGGAACUCCAUGUGUAGCGGUGAAAUGCGUAGAUAUAUGGAAGAACACCAGUGGCGAAGGCGGCUUUCUGGACUGUAACUGACGUUGAGGCUCGAAAGUGUGGGUAGCAAACAGGAUUAGAUACCCUGGUAGUC